rnacentral:rRNA from 1 species
UUGGAGGGCAAGUCUGGUGCCAGCAGCCGCGGUAAUUCCAGCUCCAAUAGCGUAUAUUAAAGUUGUUGCAGUUAAAAAGCUCGUAGUUGAAUUUCGGGGUUAGUAGGUUGGUCAUGCCUCAGGUAUGUACUGAUCUUACUGAUUCCUCCUUCCUGAUGAACCGUAAUGCCAUUAAUUUGGUGUUGCGGGGAAACUGGACUGUUACUUUGAAAAAAUUAGAGUGUUUAAAGCAGGCUAACGCUUGAAUACAUUAGCAUGGAAUAAUGAAAUAGGACGUUCGAUCCUAUUUUGUUGGUUUCUAGGAUUGACGUAAUGAUUAAUAGGGAUAGUUGGGGGCAUUAGUAUUCAAUUGUCAGAGGUGAAAUUCUUGGAUUUAUUGAAGACUAACUACUGCGAAAGCAUUUGCCAAGGAUGUUUUCACUAAUCAAGAACGAAAGUUAGGGGAUCGAAGACGAUCAGAUACCGUCGUAGUCUUAACCAUAAACUAUGCCGACUAGGGAUCGGAUGAUGUAUUUAU